rnacentral:rRNA from 1 species
GAUGAACGCUGGCGGCGUGCCUAAUACAUGCAAGUCGAGCGAACGGACGAGAAGCUUGCUUCUCUGAUGUUAGCGGCGGACGGGUGAGUAACACGUGGAUAACCUACCUAUAAGACUGGGAUAACUUCGGGAAACCGGCGCUAAUACCGGAUAAUAUUUUGAACCGCAUGGUUCAAAAGUGAAAGACGGUCUUGCUGUCACUUAUAGAUGGAUCCGCGCUGCAUGAGCUAGUUGGUAAGGUAACGGCUUACCAAGGCAACGAUGCAUAGCCGACCUGAGAGGGUGAUCGGCCACACUGGAACUGAGACACGGUCCAGACUCCUACGGGAGGCAGCAGUAGGGAAUCUUCCGCAAUGGGCGAAAGCCUGACGGAGCAACGCCGCGUGAGUGAUGAAGGUCUUCGGAUCGUAAAACUCUGUUAUUAGGGAAGAACAUAUGUGUAAGUAACUGUGCACAUCUUGACGGUACCUAAUCAGAAAGCCACGGCUAACUACGUG